rnacentral:rRNA from 1 species
UACGUAGGGCGCGAGCGUUGUCCGGAAUUAUUGGGCGUAAAGGGCUCGUAGGCGGUUUGUCACGUCGGGAGUGAAAACUCGGGGCUUAACCCCGAGCCUGCUUCCGAUACGGGCUGACUAGAGGUAUGCAGGGGAGAACGGAAUUCCUGGUGUAGCGGUGAAAUGCGCAGAUAUCAGGAGGAACACCGGUGGCGAAGGCGGUUCUCUGGGACGGUACUGACGCUGAGACGCGAAAGCGUGGGGAGCGAACAGG